AUACCGUCAUUCUCAUCGGAACUGAGGUCCAGCACAUUGCUUCCUCUGGGGCCUUUACUAGUGAGGGACAACUUCCACUAGUCCCUAUAGGUUCUAACACCCAUGGCGUUCACAGGUGAAGGUCUCCUGUCAUAUUACAAACAUUCCCCCCACUCCCCUCCCAAAAAAAGGAACAUUUCCUCUGUGUCAGGUACACAGGUCAGAGAGUCAUAGGGUGACUGGCUGCUCUGUGAUGGCAUAGUGGCCGUGGAAGUGGAUGGAAAUGUCGCAGGCUUAGGGGAGUGUGGGGCUGGCCUCGGCUUGGUGAGCUCCCAGGAAGGGGGACCUGGAAAUCGCUGCGGGCAUCCUUGCAUAGAGGACCAGCAGUUGUCAUGAGAGGUCUGCCGCUUGCUGGCAAGGAAGAUGGUCAAUUCUUCUGACCAACAGAGGCUGCCUUGAGUCCUGAUUUGGUGUGGCCUGGCAUCUAUGGUGCACCCAAUGCUGGGGCAGUUGCCGUGGGAGGCCUGCCGUCUGCUGAAAGGAAGAUGGUUGAUGCUUCUGAGCAAUGAAGGCCCCAUGGAGUCCUGGAUUCGGUGUGGCCUUGCAUCCGUGGUGCACCCCGUGCUGGUGGAUGGCUCAGGACGGGGCAGUUGCCAUGGGAGGCGCAGGCCUGCUGGAAGGAAGAUGGUCGAUUCUCCCAAGCAACAAAGGCCACGUAGAGUCCUGGUUUCAGUGUGGCCUGGUAUCCACAGUGCACCCCGUGCUGGUGGGUGGCUCAGGACGCACACUCAUUUCCUCUGCACCUUCCUGGUGUCAUUGGCAUGGAAGGAAGGCCCUUGUCCAAGAAGGAUGGUCUUCGUCUUGUGUGAUCUUUGAGAUGCCAUGAGGCCCCUGGAUACAAAUGGUGUGGGCUCCUUUGGAGGCUUUUGGAUUUCUCCUGAAUGUGGCGUUGGUAUGGAAGGAAGGCCAGUGACCGCAAGGGAUGACUUUGAUCUUGGGAGAUUUUUGGAGAUGGCAAAGUGCUUCUAAACAUGUUUGGCAUGGUCUCCUUCAGGCUGGUGGAUACCUCAGGAUGGUGGCGUUGGCAUGGAAGGAAGGACUGUGUCUGUGAGGGAUGAUCAUCCUCUCAUGUGAUCCUUGGAGAUGCCAGGAAGCCCCUUGACACAUGUGGCAUGGGCUCCUUCAGAGGCUUUUGGAUCCGUCGUGAAUGUGGCAUGGGCAUGCAAAGAAAGACAGAGGCUGCAAGGGAUAAACUUCAUCUUGGGAGAUCCCUGGAGAUGGCAGGGAACCCAUGGACACAUGUGGCAUGGGCUCCUUUGGGUGCCGGUGGAUCCCUUCAUACGGUAAAGCCAGAGUUGGGUAUCAACCAGAUACACUGCAGGGGAUCAGAGGACAUGGCCUUUGUGUACUGCACAUCUGUCAGAUUUUCUCAAGCACACCCGUGUUUCCUCUUCACCUCCCACGUGGAAGUGAUGAAUUGGCCAGGACCAUGUUGGUGAGGGACAAUCAUCAUCUCAUGUUAACCUCAGAGAAGCCAGGAAGCUCCUGGACACACAUGGUGUAGGCUUCCUUGGAGGCUGUUGGAUCUCUCCUGAAUGUAGUGUUGGUGUAAAAGGCAAACCCGUGUCAUGAGGGAUGGUCAUCAUCUUGUGUGAUCCUUGGAGAUGGCAGGAAGCCCUGGACAUACAUGGUGUGGGGGCUCCUCCAGAGGCUGUUGGGAUCCUCCUGGAUGUGGUGUGGGCAUGGAAGGAAGGCCAGUGGAGACAAUGGAUGAUCUUGUUCUUAGCAGAUCACUGGAUGUGGCAGGGAGUCCUAGGACAUGUGUGGUGUGGGCUUCUUCAGGUGCUGGUGGUGUUGGCAUGAGGAAAGGAGGUAUCUUCGAGGGACAAUCUUCUUCUUGUGCGAUCCUUGGAGAUGCCAUGAGGCCCCUGGACACAUGUGGUGUGGGCUCCUUUGGAGGCUGUUGUAUCCCUUCUGAAUGUGGCGUGGGCAUAGAAGGAAGGCCAGUGGCCACGAGGGACAAUCUUGGUCUUGGGAGAUCCUGGAAAUGAUAGGGAGUCCCUUGAUAUGUGUGGCAUGGGCUCCUUCAGGUGCUAGUGGAUUCCUUAGGAUGGUGGUGUUGGCAUGAAAGGCAGGCUUGUAUCAUGAGGAAUGAUUGUCAUCUUGUCUGAUUCUUGGAGAUGGCAGGAAGCCCCUGGAAACACAUGGUGUGGACUCUUUCACAGGCUGUUGAAACCCUCCUGAAUGUGAGGCCAGAGACAGGCAGACAGCAGAUGUAUUGCAGGGAGCUGGAUGACAUGGCCCUUGGAACCUGUGCACAUGCCUGCCUUUCUGAUGCACGUCCAUGUUUUCUCUGCACCUCCCCGGUGGUGUUGGUAUAAAAAGCAGGCUUACAUCAGCAAGGGAUGAUUGUCGUCUCAUGCGAUCCUGGGAGAUGGCAGAAGUCCCGGGACACAUGGAGUGUGGGCUCUUUCGGAGGCUGUUGGAUCCCUCCUGAAUGUGUUGUGGCCAUGGAAGUAAGGCCAGUGGCUACGAGGGACAGUCUUCAUCUUGGGAGAUCCCUAGAGAGGGCAGGGAGCCCCUUGACAUGUGGAAUGUGAUCUCUGUUGGGUGCUGGUGGAUCCCACAGGUGGUCUGGCAUGGAAGAAGGCCAGAGGCUGCGAUGGAUCAUCUUUGUCUUGGGAGAUUCCUGGAGAUGGUGGGGAGCCCCUGGGCACGUGCAGCAUAUGUGGCGUGGGCUUCUUCAGGUGCUGGUGGAUCCCUCAGGAUGCUUUUCAAGGUUUUUCUAUGAGUUCUGUUAAAGAGUCUGAAAAUGGAGCGUAGAAGACAUGCUUCGAUUUCCAGGAUGGUUGUGUUUUCCAGAGAGGCGGAGGUAAACCACUGGCGCAGCCCUGCCUCCCACAGAUAAUUCCGGGUGCAGUGUUUCAUAUCUAGACUUGGACUUCUAUCCUACCAUACUUCUUUGUGUGCAGUUCAUUGUGGAACCAGCACAGAUUUUCAUACGAAAGUUAUUUCUUUUUAACCUCAAAAAGUGACAGAAUGGAGUGUAUCAUGAAAAAGUCUGACAUCAAAACCUCAAAAUGUGAUAUUGAUUGGGUGAGAUAGAAUUCCAUGGAAUUUCAUUGCCAAACCAGUGAAGUGCUAAUUUUGACAUUUGUACCAGCUAACGUAGCUGUGAAGAAACACACCAAUACACUUCUAAGGACAGCAUAGACCAAGAUCUAGGUUUCAUAUGGAUGAAUUUAUUCUUCCCUUUGAGGCAAGACAAGAAGGAAAGAAAGUAUUGGGAAUAAUGCUGCCCUCCCAUCCUCAAGGGCCAGUGGGAACUCUAAUAUUGAUUGGGUGAGAUACAAUUCCAUGGAAUUUUACCACUGAACCAGUGGAGGGCUAAUUUUGUCAUUUGUACCAGUUAACUAACUUGGGAGGAAACAGAACAACACACUCCUGAGAUUGGUUUUCACAGAAUUCCAUGGACUUUAACUGCUGAACCAAUGAUGCACUGAUUUUGUCACUUGUACCAGCUAACGCAUCUGGGAGGCAACAAAACAAUACUCUCCUGAGGUUAAUGUGGACCAAAAACUAGAUUUCAUAUAAAAGAGUUUAUUCCUUCUACUUGAGGUGUGACAUGAAGGAAAGUAAUGGAAAUAAUUCUGCCCUCCCAUUCUCAAGGGCCAGGGGGAAUUCAAAUAUUGAACGGAAGUGAUUUUGGAAUUGCAUGGAAUUCUCACUGCCAUCCCAAAGAAAUGCUGAUCUUGUCACUCUUACCUGUUUCAUUCCCUGGGGGCAGAACAAAAGGACGCACUCCAAAGAUCGGCAUGAACCAAGAACUGGGUUUCAUAUAAAAUAUUUUAUUCUGUCCUCUUGAGAUGUGACAUGAGAAAAGUAUUGAGAAUACUUCUAUCACCUCAUCUUCAAGAAUCCGUAGGAAUUCUCCCAUGGUGGACUUUACGGUUAACCUGAACAGGUCUUGGAAAAAGGACUUUAAACAUUCUCCUGUUCUGUGGAAUAAGUAUACUUUUUUCUGGACAUACACCUUGUCAGUUCCAUGUGAUACUAGAGUUGCAUAGAUUUUUAACCUUUACGCCAAUGAAGAUCUGAGGCAAACAUUGCCCCUUUUUUAGAAGUUUGCAUUUGUCACUGAUAACUGUAAUAAUUGAUCUUGUUGAAAAGCCUGGGAAAUGAAGAUCUGAUAUGUCACUUUUACCGGCUUCCUCAACUGAAAAAGAAUACAAUGAAACACGCUGAGAAUUUUUGUGCUUUCUCAGUCUUGCUGAUGAUCUUUCUAUGGGCCUGAAGCGUGGAGAGUGCCAGAGAGGCUGAUCCUCAGCAGUGUGGCAGAGGAAAGUUGGGUGCGACUAAGGGGUAUGCGGUGCCCACAUGCCACUGGGUCCUCAGCAGUACCACCUGAUUGGAAGUGAUAUUGGUGGAAGACAACAUUUUGCCGCUUGGAAUUCUCACCUCCACACCAAAGAAGUACUGUUUUUGUCAUUUGCACCAGCUUCUUUCUCCAGGAAAGAUCAAAACGAUGCACUGCAAGUGUGAUUGGUCCAGAUAGCUGCCUUAUCCAACUGCCUCCUUUGGACCACUUCAUCAUGGGACAGCUUGAUGCAAUCUACUUGACAAGACCCUGGAACCCCACACCCCUCAUGGAACCAGUGUCCACCUCCCAGUCACAGUGUGACCCCAGGGAACUCUUGCCUGCUUGCUUUAAACCCACCACUUAAAAGUCUCCACAGAAAACCUGUUUGAAUAGUACCCUUGACCCAAUAAGGGCAUUGGCCCCUGGGUGUCUCUCUCUCUCUCUCUCUCUCUCUCUCCCUCUCUCUCCCUCUCUCUCUCUCGCUCCCUGACCUCUGCGUGUGGACUCCAGGCAUGCCAUAUACCCCUCAGGACCUGAAGCAAAAGAAUGAAUUAAAGAAAACUCCAGAGAAUGAGCUGACAACCUACUCCCUGGUCAGUGGCUCUCCAUGCCUACCUGUGGUCUCUUGGACACCCUUGCAGAAGAUGACUUCCUGGGAACUCUUCUGGGAGUGAAUGUUAUCAGCAAAUUCCCAAAACAACACCCCUUAGACAAAAAGCCUCCUCACCUAUGCAUUGCCUAGACCACCCACUAAAGGUGAUGGCCACAAAGAGGUGGAUUUGUUGAGUUGGUGCCAUUCCUUCUACUGCCAGCUUCACCAAAACAAUGACACAGUCUUCCUUCCGCAUGGAGACUCUUCUCUUUCCUGUGUUGCAGUGGAUGCCUCCUGCAGAUAAGAAAUGCUUAACUGAGAAAUGCUCAUGUUGGGAUAUCAUCGAUGAGACUUUAAUUUGGGCAUGGUGACUGUUUCCCUUGCUGCCACUUGACUCAAUCCCAGGAGCCUCAGUAGAGGAUAUAAUAUUACACAAGAUGCUCAAAAUGGUGGAAUUGCUCAGUGCUCCCAUAAAUAUACAUUUAUAAUUUUCAUUUGCCACAUGGUAAACUGAAAAAUACAGACUAUAUUAAAAAGAAACUGCAUGAUUUUUUUUCAAAAAUUCAAAGCAUAUUUAAAUAAUAUAUAAAUUAAAUGCCCUCCUCUCUUCCAAUUCUGUCCCUAUAGUUUUCCUCUAUUAAGUGAACUACAUGCAUUCUUUUAGUGGAUAGAUGCACACAAACACACAAGCCAUUAUGGGGAAGGAUCCACGUGUGUGGCCAUAUUGUAACACAUUUUUCUGCAAAUCACCUCUUUCAUUUAACAGCCCUUAUUCAAUGGCCUUUUUCUUUUUCAGUAGUACAUACACAUCUGUGUCAUUUGUUGAAUGACGACAUGAAUGUUUUGUAGAUAAAAUAUAAUUAAAUGUUUUAAGCAUUUCUCACUCAUAGAUAUUUAUGUUAGCACCAAAUUUCUGUGCAAUGAACCUCCCUAUAUAUCAGUAAUUUUGCAUUUGUCUAUAAUAUCAUAAUAAAUUACUUAUCAGUUGAAUUACUGGGAUUAAGUAUGUGCACACUUUAUAUUUAUAUUUUGAAAAUUAUUGCAAGAUUGCCUUCAAAAAUGUGGUUAACAACUUUAUCUUCAAAUGGCAAUGAAUGAGAUUGCCAGCUUUCCUACAGCCUCACAGACAAUGGAUUUUAUAAAUAUUUAACAUUUUUGCCAAUGUGAUCACCCAAACUAUUGUCUUAAAUUGUAUCUCUUUUGUUUUUGAGUUUGGUCAUUUUUUCAUGUUUAUUAGCCAUCUGUAUUUUUUAAUUUCUUCUUUAUGUCCAAUUUUGUGGGUGGGAGGAGGAUUUAGUCUCUUCCUGAUUUCGAAGAGCUCAUUUACUAUUUCGGGAAAUAAGAUUUGGAUUGUCAACCAUUAUAGCUAUUUUUUACACACUUUUCAACUUUGUUUUUGUUAUAAGAAUGUGUAUGAUUGUUACAUGUCCAAGUAUAACCAUGUUCGCUUUUAUGGCUUCUGAGUUUCAUGUCAUUUUUGGAAAGAUAUAUAUAUUGAGUCCAUAAAACCCUUCACCUAUGUUAAAUUCUAAUUCUUUUGUGUUUUUUUAAUUCAAAUUCUUAAAUCAUGAGAAAUUUUUUUGUUUUGAAAUCUUAAAGUUGCCAAGUUACUUGCCAUUACUUGCGAUUAUUUGCCAAUAAUUGCCCAUUUAUCUGUACCGCCAUCUUGCGCAUAUGCUGUACUCUCAUCUGUGACUGGCUCCAUUUUUGUUCUGUGGAUUUGUGUGUCUCUUCUUCUGCCUCCUGUCUCGUGUCUGCUCGUUGGAAGAAAUUACAGUUUAGACUGCAAUUUCAUCAACUUUAAUAAAUCAAUUGAGGGGAGAAUUGGUUUUUAAAAAUAUUAAGUAAGUCUUCGUAUCCAAGGACAAGGUAUGUCUUUUCUUAUUCAAUAAUUUUAAUUACUGUUAAUAUUUUCACUGUGGUGAUGGGAGUUUUUCUUUUAAUUUAUUUUCUUGUUCAUUUUUUGUAUCUAAAGUUUUUGUUUUGUUUUGUUUUGGGGGUAAGUUGUCACCUUACUGUUUCUUGUUGCUUUUCAGAUUUUUUCAAAGUAUAGACUAAAUCCUUCACAAAUAUUUAAAGUUUUUAUUUUCCCCCUUCAUAUUGAUCCUGAUUUUAGUUAUGUUGACAAAGUCCACAGACUGUUACUAUCAGAACACUUGAACAGUUAUGGAAAUAUUACCUACCCUUGAUUUAAUCAGAGUUUAAUGGUAUGCUUCUUUGGUUUGACUGGCACAUUGUCGCUGGUCAUUUCCUCCCAAAGACCACCAGAAAGAGCUAUGAUCAAGCAAAGCUGAGUUUGUUAAACUUACCUGCAGCAAGGGAAAACACCACCUUGAUAGGGUUUAAUAAUGUUUCAAAAUCAAGAAAUGAGGCUUUGGGGUCUGGGCAGGGAACUAAUUAGAAAUGGGCAAAAUUUGUCAUGCAAUACCUUGUGGGAAAGUGAGAUGAGGUUCUUAAUGUGAGUAUUGAUGGUGAAAUCAUUUUCUAGGUGAGCUGUUUGCCUAUAUAAAGAUGUUAUCAAUGACAGAAGAACUAUUUGCCUAGAUAAACAAACUGAAUUUAUUUAUUGGUUUACAGUUUUAUCUUGCUGGGCAGGACUCUGCUGGGGGUGGUAUCAGGUCUUAUUCCCAAUAGGUAAGUUAUUUGGAUAUGGGUGGUCUUAAUCAUCAAUGUGUAAAAUGCUGAUUUUAAGUGCGAAAUACUUUGUCUACCAUGUUAGGAAAGUCUGCCACCUUUUAUCUUUUUUAAGGAAUUUUAAUCAAAACCAGGUGGUAGAUAUAAUCAAAUUGUUUUGCAGAAUCAAUUUUCCUGUUCUCUUUAAAGACUUUUAUCACUGUGAAUUAAUUUACUAUUAUUGCAACUUCCUUUAAUUCCUUGAAUGAACAGACCCUACUGGUUUUAAAAAUGUUUUAUUCUUUUAAUUUACUACUUAAUUGUGGGUAUUUUAAUUUGAUUUGGAAUUUUUACAAGUAUACAACUAAGUGAAAUUGAUCUGUGAUUUUUCUUUUUUGUGCUAUUUUUGUCAUGUUUUGAUAUCAGAUAUUCUGGUUGUGUUAAAAUAAUUUUGAGGAUUUUCUUCUUAUACUGUGUUCUAGAGUGGGUAAAAAAGCCCUAGUCUCACUAUCAGUGUUUAAGUGAACACAUCAGUGACAUCAUCUGGACUCUCCUUUGUUUUUGCUGGUUUGGAGUUAGGACAUCUAGAAGUUUUUUUCUUUUUUUCCUUUUUUUGUAUGGUUAUUGCUUGUUCUUUGUUUUGUGUCAAAUUUAACCUGUUUUCUCUUAGCAAAUCACAGCUCAUGCAGAUUUUCAAACACAUUAGCCUUGUUAUACAAAGUGUUCUUUCAUCAUUCUAUUAAAUUUCCAUUUUCAUUCCAGUUAUAGUUAUUUCUGCUGUGCCUUUGUUAAUGAAUAAGUUUAAACAGUGGAUGUUUAGCAUCACUAGCCUUCCCCUUCCAUCUCCCUUAAUCAGGACCUUGGUAUAAUUUAUCAGGUAUUUUUUAAGGUUCUAAUUUACUUAUAUAUAUUGUUUCUGUAUUCUUUUGUUUCUUUUCUUAAUAAAUUCUUAAA
ensembl:lncRNA SNHG14 small nucleolar RNA host gene 14